rnacentral:lncRNA from 1 species
GGCGCCAAAAUUUGAUGGGUGUCGUAGCCCAUACAAAUUUGAUUGCAUACGAGAAAUGUAGUAUAGCUAGGAAAUGACUCCUAGGUCGUCUCUCAAGGACCAACUGCGGUUCGAGACUUAGGUCUAACACAGUGGGGGGGUUUAUGAAAGCAAGCAAUACGAUGAUAAAAAUAAAUCAUUCUCCCUUCAUGUAACAAUGACCUUGACCGAGCAUCAGAAAUCAAUUUAAAUGCAAAGAUCUCUAAAAGCAAAAUAAAAUAAAUCCAAAAUGUUGUUAGCGAUGUGUGCUCAUUUUUUUUCAAGCCG